UUUUUUUCACAUGACUGUAGGUGGAAAGCCGACGAGUAAGAUAGACCGGUUGAGUGUAGAUUGGUAGUUUGGUGUGUAGAGUAGGAGUAAUAGACGGGUUGAGUAUAGUGGGGUAUGUUGGAGUGUGGAUGAGAACCAGUAUAGACGGAUUGGGUAUAGUGGGUAUGUUGGAGUGUGGAUGAGAACCAGUAUAGACGGGUUGAUUAUAGUGGGGUAUGUUGGAGUGUGGAUGAGAAUCAGUACAGACGGGUUGAGUAAAGUGGGUUAUGUUGGAGUGUGGAUGAGAAUCAGUACAGAUGGGUUGAGUAUAGUGGGGUAUGUUGGAGUGUAGAUGAGUAGGUGGAGUGUGGAUGAGAACCAGUAUAGACGGAUUGGGUAUAGUGGGUAUGUUGGAGUGUGGAUGAGAACCAGUAUAGACGGGUUGAGUAUAGGGGGUAUGUUGGAUUGUGGAUGAGAACCAGUAUAGACGGGUUGAGUAUAGUGGGGUAUGUUGGAGUGUGGAUGAGAACCAGUAUAGACGGGUUGAGUAUAGUGGGGUAUGUUGGAGUGUGGAUGAGAACCAGUAUAGACGGGUUGAGUAUAGGUGGAAGGUAGAAUGAGUAAGAUACACGAGAUGAGUCGGUAG
ensembl:lncRNA